GCUGCGGGCAGCCUGCUACAGCACGAGUCCCACCAUCACCAACCAUCUGAUCUCUCCAGCCCAACUCCUACUCCUCCUGCAUGGCCACCUCCUCCAGGAAGUCCUCCACAACCUUGCUCUGUGGUCUUAAAGCAGCUGCACGACUUUACCCCAUCAUCAUAGGACCAACAGGAGGGUGCGCUCCACCUCAGGCUUCCCAUCCAUGUUGGCUGGAUGAAUGGAAUUAAACUGAACUGGACAGGUGUUCCCGAGAACUGAGACUGGACAGUCAGAGAAAUCAGAGAACGAGAUAGCCCUGCUCUCCGUGAGGUGAGACGCCCUGUGGGGAGAGAGCCAGACCAAAACUCGCUGACAGUUGGGAAUGAGACCAAUAUUGUUCUUCCCGUUUUGCAGACGAGAAAAGUGAGGCUCAGAGAGGCUGGGUCUGCUGUCCACGAUCACCCAGCAGGCGUGGCCGGCCUGAGCCAAAUGCAGUCUGGCCAAAGCACCGCUGAAGCGAACGCUCCGUUGGCUCCCACAAAACUCUGGGGUCCGGCUGUUCCUUCACCUCCUGUACCCUGAGACUCCAUUUGGAGCAGCCCCAGCCCAGGGAAAUCACCGGCGUCUUCCAAAUCCUACUGAAGAUCAAGGACAUCAGCGCAUUCCACAGGACAUCUGUUUGACAUUUGCCUUGUGGGACGGGACGAGGUCGGAGGCGGGUAAGCUCCUUUCUGAUGCCGGUGCUUCGAGGCUCCAGGCUGCACUGGUGGCCGGGCAGCUGGCAGUGCCCACCUGCCCCCUGGUGUGGCACCCCGAGACCUUCGGACCCCAGGUGCCCAACAGCAAUGGCUACACUUCCUGUCCCUACGUGAAGACCUAGAUCUUCGGGUCCAUGGGGGGCAGCUUCACGUGUUUCCUAUUUACUGCUUCAGACCAGCAUGCUGUAAUACAGAC
rnacentral:lncRNA from 1 species